rnacentral:rRNA from 1 species
AGUGGCGAACGGGUGAGUAACACGUGGGUAACCUACCAUAUAGACAGGGACAACAGUUGGAAACGACUGCUAAUACCUGAUAACAUAAGCUAUCGCAUGAUAGGUUAUGGAAAGGGGCGUAUGCCUCACUAUGUGAUGGACCCGCGGCGCAUUAGCUAGUUGGUGAGAUAAAAGCUCACCAAGGCGACGAUGCGUAGCCGACCUGAGAGGGUGAACGGCCACAUUGGGACUGAGACACGGCCCAGACUCCUACGGGAGGCAGCAGUAGGGAAUUUUCCACAAUGGGGGCAACCCUGAUGGAGCAAUGCCGCGUGAGAGAAGAAGGCCUUCGGGUUGUAAAUCUCUGUUGUAAGGGAAGAAAAUUGAUAAGAGGAAAUGCUUAUUAAGUGACGGUACCUUACCAGAAAGCCACGGCUAACUACGUGCCAGCAGCCGCGGUAAUACGUANNUGGCGAGCGUUAUCCGGAAUUAUUGGGCGUAAAGGGUGCGCA